AUAAUUAUUUAAAAUCCCCCCAUUGUUGCACAUAAUUAAAAUUCCCAAAUCCCCUCCAAACAAACCCUAAAGCUAGCAGCCGUCACCGUGUCUGAGAUAAGAUCUCGUCGAAAUGUGCAAGAGGUUAGCUUCAACCCAUCGCCGCCUCUAGCGCCGCCUCCAUCGCCACAGCCAUCACCACCACUAUAUCCAUUCGUGUCCUUGCUGUCACCGCCACUGCCACCACAUGCUUCGAUAAUCUCUUUUCCCGUUGUCUCCGCCGUCGAUGCCUUGUCUCCUUUGGUCACGACGCGGACAUUGAUCCUUAUGAGGAGAAUCCUGGAACUGCUCUAUUUAGUGAGCCUGAAGCUCAAAUUAUGUGGAAACUUGCCAUCUCGUUCGAACCACAUGUGUGGAUCAAUGUGAACUCUGGAAUUGAGGCAAGUUUAGUUAAUUAUUUACCCAUUCCUUAAAAGAAUAUUGAAUGUUCUCCUCCUUAGUUUCUGUAUUCAUAGCAAGUUGGGAUACUUUUGCAGUUCGGUAGACAUGCUAUGCAGCCUUUCAUAUAUCACUUCCUAUUAUUUUGUUGCUGGUAUAAUGAUAAGGUUUGUUUUGUAAAAUGACUCAGUUGUUGGGACCCCAGGCUCAGGGAAGACCACAUUGCUAUUAGCCUUGAUUGACAUUUUGCUGGAAAACUUGGCAAAAAUCUAAAAGUAAACAAAUCAAUCAAAUUUUGCUACAAUAAGUUCAUACAUUGUAGGCUAUAGUUCCUUUUAAAUUUUAGUAAUUAAAUUAUUACACAUGGAUUUUCUUGUUCCUAUGCUGCUAAGAAGGGAAUAACUAGAAAUGCAUCUUCUGCUUUACAUGCUGCUAAUGUAGAAAAGCCUCAAGGAGCAGAAGGAUAUAGUGUGACACCUAAGUAUAAAUCACCAUCAGAGGAUAGGAUACUUCCCUAAGGGGAUACCUAAGAGCAAUGUAAAAAAAGGAUUCAAUAGAGGUCAUAUUCAAAGGUUCACACAACAUUGGAGUUUCCAUGGCUACUCCAAAUGGUCUAGUUGUACCAAAUAUAAAGAAUGUCCAGUCUCUUUUAAUCUUAGAGGUUAGUUUUCAAUCUUAUGAUUACUGUAUGCACACAUUGUUAUUUCGAUGAAAGUGCAUGUCCGUCAUUACUGAUCAGUUAGAGAGGUCUGGAAGAUAAAUAUGAUUCAUAAUUUGAACUGCUUGAACAACAUAUACUUUAGUUCUUGACUUAUCAUUUUUCUCUUUCGCUGGACUGGUGGUAUUGGACUCAGCUCUGGAAUGGAGACUUGGGAGAAAGAAAAUAAUCGUUAUAUAUAUGAGGCAUUGUUAUACUAACUUAUUUGCUGUCUGCACAGCGUAAUUUGCUUCCUCAAUUUGCUGAGGAUGAUAUUGAUCUUUUGACUAUAGUGGGACAAUUCUUGUUUGUGCUCUCUGAAGAAAUCAACAUAUAAACCAGUAGGAAAAAAAUAAAUCAAAUAAACAUAUGCCAAUCAAGUAAUUAACAUUACAACAACUCUAUCUAUCAAAUCUUGUCCUAUAAAGUGUGACCAUCAGGUAUUACCUAUAUUAAUUUUAUCAUAAAUUAUAUCCAUAUGCUAAUUAAAUUGCAUUCAACUAGUCUUCUUGUCAAUAGAAUUAGAGUUUGGUGGGGUUUAGGUAAUUAAAAGAAGAUAAUUACUUACGAUUCAAUGGUGAGGCAAUCAAUCUGAGUAAUAAUUGCAACUAUGGUGAUGAUGGCCCAAUACACAUCAACAGGAAUUUGCUCAAUGGGAGGCUCCAAAUCAGGCACAUCAUUGUGAUCAUAAGUUGAGAGCUUCUCCAACUCAAAGAUCAACUUAAUCACCUGCAAUGUUGUUUUCACCAAAUUGUUUAGCCCAAUAUACAUUGUAGGCCAUAGUUCCUUUUAAAUUUAAUUUUUCUUUUGGACAAGUUCCUGAAAAUGAUAAUCCUUCAGUUUUGAUAUCUUUUGUCUCAAAGACACUUAAUGUUGGUCAAAUUAUAUUGAAACUGCAUGUUAUUGAGCUGGGUGCACAGCCAGGUAUGCAUAUUUUUUCCUCUCACACCUAUCUCCUAUGUUUUUAUUCAAUGGCAACAUGGGUGUUACACUUUUGACUAAAUUUUAAACUGGAUCGUUAUCUCCCUUCUUUAUUUUAUUUUAUUUACAUGCAUUGUCAAUAUUAAAAUAUUUAGCUAAUAUAUAUGACCCUUCAGGUUGUAAUAACAAGUAUAAAUAUAUAUGGCUCUUCAGGUUGUAAUAAUAGAAAAUUUAUGAUUCACCUGCCUAUAUUCUUUUUGGAAGUAGGACUUUGUUUUAUUUUAUUACAAGGGUAUGUUGUAUCAAUUUGUAAACUUGCAGGUAUACUUUACCAUGUAUGAACAGCUCAAGAGCCUUCUUCAGUCUGAGGGUGUACAAAUUAUAAUAAGUACAGAUUGCCAUAAUCUUUCAGUUGGAGCUAAUAUGAUGGCUGCUUCUGGUGCUGGAGCUACAACAACAAUGUUCACAAAUCCACUUUGGGUUGUCAAGACUAGACUCCAAGUAUGAGUUCUAAGGUUAACCAGAUGCAUUCUCUACUUCAGUUCAUGAAUAUAAAAUACCCCCUAAAGGUCUUCUAAGAUUGCAUUCAUAUUUUUAUUUUGAUACUUUUAUGUAAUUAGAUAAUAUUAAAAUAUUGAAAUUGUUGUUUUAUUUUACUUUUUAAAGAAAAACAGUAAUAGUUAUGUAGAACAAUACCAUAUGGAAUUAUGUUUGGAACUAUUGACAUUGAGAAUUUUCUUUUAUAUAUAGAGUUAUGUCUUAUAUUGAGAAA